UGCAGUCGAGCGGAUGACGGGAGCUUGCUCCUUGAUUCAGCGGCGGACGGGUGAGUAAUGCCUAGGAAUCUGCCUGGUAGUGGGGGACAACGUUUCGAAAGGAACGCUAAUACCGCAUACGUCCUACGGGAGAAAGCAGGGGACCUUCGGGCCUUGCGCUAUCAGAUGAGCCUAGGUCGGAUUAGCUAGUUGGUGAGGUAAUGGCUCACCAAGGCGACGAUCCGUAACUGGUCUGAGAGGAUGAUCAGUCACACUGGAACUGAGACACGGUCCAGACUCCUACGGGAGGCAGCAGUGGGGAAUAUUGGACAAUGGGCGAAAGCCUGAUCCAGCCAUGCCGCGUGUGUGAAGAAGGUCUUCGGAUUGUAAAGCACUUUAAGUUGGGAGGAAGGGCAGUAAGUUAAUACCUUGCUGUUUUGACGUUACCGACAGAAUAAGCACCGGCUAACUCUGUGCCAGCAGCCGCGGUAAUACAGAGGGUGCAAGCGUUAAUCGGAAUUACUGGGCGUAAAGCGCGCGUAGGUGGUUCGUUAAGUUGGAUGUGAAAGCCCCGGGCUCAACCUGGGAACUGCAUCCAAAACUGGCGAGCUAGAGUACGGUAGAGGGUGGUGGAAUUUCCUGUGUAGCGGUGAAAUGCGUAGAUAUACGAAGGAACACCAGUGGCGAAGGCGACCACCUGGACUGAUACUCACACUGAGGUGCGAAAGCGUGUGGAGCAAACAGGAUUAGAUACCCUGGUACUCCACGCGUUAAACGAUGUCAACUAACCCUU
rnacentral:rRNA from 1 species